CUGUUGGCAAACAAGUUUUAUUGUAUUUGUCUAACACAAGAUGCAUGUUAUUAUUUAACCAGGUCAAGAGGGGUAUACAAUGAACUCUUGCUUAACAAGCAAGGUAUAAACAAGUGGGAUUCUGCUGAGGCUGGAGCCGCUACCUGCCGCAAAAUUUCUUGUGGACAAUCUAUGUGUUUUCUCUUUUUAUUUUGGAGUUGUUUAGCCUGAAAGUUUCAUCCAUUUAUAAAGAAAAAUGAUACAGCAAGCUCUUGCAAUGCAGAGGGAUGACUGGCCAGGAAUGAACUGUAAGAAAUCUGCAGUCGAUUGCCUUAAACAGCAAUGGGGCAGAGCUGGGGAGUACUUCUCAAGCAAUCAGUUUGGGGAAAAUCCAUCAUAAAUUAGACAAGCUUCAUCUGAGUGUCUAUUGUAAAAUUCUAAAGAUAAAGAUCAUCUCACAAUUUCUCAGUGUUCGUUCUCCAUCCUAUUUAUUUUAGCAGGUAUGCUGCAUUUUACAGCACUUUGUGCAUCUAAAUUUUUUAUAGUCCCAGAUAGGUUAAUUA
rnacentral:lncRNA from 1 species